rnacentral:rRNA from 1 species
GAUGAACGCUAGCGGCAGGCUUAAUACAUGCAAGUCGAGGGGCAGCAUGAGUGUAGCAAUACAUUUGAUGGCGACCGGCAAACGGGUGCGGAACACGUACACAACCUUCCUAUAAGUGGGGAAUAGCCCAGAGAAAUUUGGAUUAAUACCCCGUAACAUAAUGAUGUGGCAUCACAUUAUUAUUAUAGCUACGGCGCUUAUUGAUGGGUGUGCGGCUGAUUAGAUAGUUGGCGGGGUAACGGCCCACCAAGUCUACGAUCAGUAGCUGAUGUGAGAGCAUGAUCAGCCACACGGGCACUGAGACACGGGCCCGACUCCUACGGGAGGCAGCAGUAAUGAAUAUUGGUCAAUGGACGCAAGUCUGAACCAGCCAUGCCGCGUGAAGGAUUAAGGUCCUCUGGAUUGUAAACUUCUUUUAUCUGGGACGAAAAAAGGCGAUUCUUCGUCACUUGACGGUACCAGAUGAAUAAGCACCGGCUAACUCCGUGCCAGCCGCCGCAGUAAAAC